UACACUCCUGCGGGAGGCAGCAGUGGGGAAUAUUGGACAAUGGGCGCAAGCCUGAUCCAGCCAUGCCGCGUGAGUGAUGAAGGCCCUAGGGUUGUAAAGCUCUUUCACCGGUGAAGAUAAUGACGGUAACCGGAGAAGAAGCCCCGGCUAACUUCGUGCCAGCAGCCGCGGUAAUACGAAGGGGGCUAGCGUUGUUCGGAUUUACUGGGCGUAAAGCGCACGUAGGCGGACUAUUAAGUCAGGGGUGAAAUCCCGGGGCUCAACCCCGGAACUGCCUUUGAUACUGGUAGUCUUGAGUGCGAGAGAGGUGAGUGGAAUUCCGAGUGUAGAGGUGAAAUUCGUAGAUAUUCGGAGGAACACCAGUGGCGAAGGCGGCUCACUGGCUCGAUACUGACGCUGAGGUGCGAAAGCGUGGGGAGCAAACAGGAUUAGAAACCCUAGUAGUCCCAUGA
rnacentral:rRNA from 1 species